UCCUACAUAACCGCUGCCAGGAGUUAGCACGAAUAGCAUUGAUUUUCUUGCUCUUAUUGGAAGUCUUUUACACUUCACUCUUUUUUUGCUAUUCAGAGCAUGCAAAAGUUGAACAGCUUAGGGAAAUUUGUUAAACCUCACACGCUUGCUCUCUCUUUCGUCGCAUAAUGGCUAAAUCACUAUUAAAUGUGCUCCUUGGGUUAUCUUUCAUUUGGUAGAUUGUGUUGUCCCUCUGCAGGCUGAAGACACAACUGGAAUAGUGGAAGAAGGCCACAAUGGUCACAAGUGGAAGAAGAAAAACCUGUUUCUAGAGAUACCAACA
rnacentral:lncRNA from 1 species